GCUGAGACGCUGGAGGUGUCGACCAACAAGGAUUCCUCAACGUGUUUCUGGAGCGGAGGCGAGCUGGUAUGGGAGCCGGGAAUCUGGAUGAUGACCAUCACUCUACCAACAAGGAUUGGCCAGACUCGCGCUGUUUGUUCCAGACCAGGACUCUGGCU